CGCUACACUGUGGACAAAUGAUGUGCAAACAAACAGUCCGGACCACAGCAACGAGGAAAUAUGAGGAUCGUUUUAUUUAAUCGUAUGAAUAAGUGUCUCUCCCUUCUUAAAGAUAAGUAUUUGAAGAAAAGCAAGUGCCGAGAUCUGGACGUAUCUGCAGUUCAAGUUUUGUGAUUUGUCCUACGAUGCAUCACAUUGUGAUUUAACUUUAUUUGGGGGGCACUCUCUGUGCUGGGGGAUAUCCGUCUUUAAGCUUUACCAAAAACUUUCUGACAGGUAUCGGUCUUCACAUAAACUAUGCUUUUUUUAAAUUAUUAUUUUUUGAAGCAAGACAGGCGAAAUAUAGGUGCAUGCCUUUGAACUUUGGAGAACACUUUUAAGAACAGCACAGACCACAAAGUACACUCUAAAAAUGGUUCGAGGGGGUUGUAAGCAACACUUAAAAUAAAGAUGUUUCUCAACAUAAAACUUUACGUUUGUAACAUCUAACCAUCUUGGUUAACAAUUUAAUUUGAUAAGUUAAUCAAAAUUAAAAAUAAAGAAUGCUCUGUCAGCUUAGUUAUAUAUGUAUUUUGAACAAAAUGUUUUGCCCUCCCUUAACAUCUGAAAAAUUCUAAGUAGUGAGUUUCAUCUGCGCAGAAGCCUUUGGCUCUUUUCUACCGUUUUUGAUACUUUCGGUACUUUCCCUUUUCCAUUGAUUUAUAAUUUCCGUAGAUAAUUCAAAGUAAGAAAAAAAGCCCGAUGUUAAUGUAACUGACUAUCAAUGUAAGAAUUAUUUUAAUAUAGCACAUCGUCCAGCCCAAUAAUAUUGUAACGACCGGGAGAUGUGCUGAGCAUGCUGGGACACUGUGUAUGCAGCUCCCUCUUUGACAAUAUUAAUAUUUGUUGCGUUUCCACGUUGUCAUGUAUGUGUUUGCCCAUGUCUUACGUGAACCCUGUCCGAUCCUUUCAUGUUUUUAGCGUCAUAUAAAUUACCCACAGUGUACUUUACCAUUCAGCAUCAGACCUCCCCAUGUUUGUGAAUUGCAUUGGGAGAGGGAUUAUGGAUUUCCUUUCGUCCUACUGAGAACACAAUAAAAACACUUCGCUUCUGCCCGAGA